GACAGAGGUGGCAAGCGUUGUUCGGAAUUACUGGGCUUAAAGGGCGCGUAGGCGGUGGAGUAAGUCCGGGUGGAAGUCUAAGGCUCAACCUUAGGUAUUGUCCCUCGGAAACGUAGCAUCACUUGAGUCAGCGAGGGGAGUGGCGGAAUUCCCACGUGUAGCGGUGAAAUAGCGUAGAUAUUGGAGGAAGGCCGGUGGCGAAGGCGGCCAUCUGGCGCUGAACUGACGCUGAGGCGCG
rnacentral:rRNA from 1 species